GCUGUGAUGGCCGAGAGGUUAAGGCUUUGGAUUUGAAAUCCAAUGGAGCCUUCCUGCGUAGGUUCGUAAUCCUGCUCACAGCG